rnacentral:rRNA from 1 species
UGGGGAAUAUUGCACAAUGGGCGCAAGCCUGAUGCAUCCAUGCCGCGUGUGUGAAGAAGGCCUUCGGGUUGUAAAGCACUUUCAGCGGGGAGGAAGGCGGUGAGGUUAAUAACCUCAUCGAUUGACGUUACCCGCAGAAGAAGCACCGGCUAACUCCGUGCCAGCAGCCGCGGUAAUACGGAGGGUGCAAGCGUUAAUCGGAAUUACUGGGCGUAAAGCGCACGCAGGCGGUCUGUCAAGUCGGAUGUGAAAUCCCCGGGCUCAACCUGGGAACUGCAUUCGAAACUGGCAGGCUAGAGUCUUGUAGAGGGGGGUAGAAUUCCAGGUGUAGCGGUGAAAUGCGUAGAGAUCUGGGGGAAUACCGGUGGCGAAGGCGGCCCCCUGGACGAAGACUGACGCUCAGGUGCGAAAGCGUGGGGGGCAAACAGG